rnacentral:lncRNA from 1 species
AGUGUUUACACGUCAAAUCGACGAAAGCCAUCUCUUGACGUCAGAUCUACCUGGACUAAGAUCCGAAUGGUAUUCCCGGCGGGGCGGAGAAGCGGCUAAAAUAAGCAGCCAGGGAUUAGGAAAAGGAAGGAACUGUUUGCUGGGAUCAGUUAAGUCUGCUCCUUGUCUGCCCAUAAAUUCUGUACCGUGAGAAACAUUUUCACUUUUCAAAGAGAAGUGCCCCACUUGAACAUAACUACCAAGAAUCAAAGGCUGGGAGUGCUUUCCCUCCCUUCCAUCCAUUUUCUCUGUAUUUACUUUAUUAUCUCAUGUGUGUGGCGGGGAGGGGGGGAGGCUAUAGGAUUCUUAUAAUGGCCCUUUGGGCAUCAGCACCUGCUAUGAAGAACAAGGCUCUUAGGUCUUUCAAAGAGAGAGGCUAGGAGAGUAAGGAGAAGAAGGGAAGCUACUACUGUCCCAAUUCUGUUCUAAAUUGUCUGAGAAAAUUAGCAUGUCUAUGUUAAAGCAAUACUAUUAAAAAUGAAUUUUUAACCAUUCAAGCCACCUUAGUUUACAAGUUUACUUCCCUCCUCCCCUUUGUUUCUCAACCUCAGUAAAACAAUAUCAGUAGUUAUACUCCGAUAUUGCAAAGCCAGCGCCACCACCACCUUUUAGGGUGUUUAUCAGUAAAAUGAUUAAUCAUGUGAUUUUAAAAAAACAUAUUUUUAAGAAUUCGUCAACAAGGGGAUCUAGGAUCCCAAAAGCUGUUGUGUUGAUUCAGGGAGGGAAAGAGCAGUUUUUAUUUACCUCGACUUUCCAUUGUGCCUCAGUAGAGCUCUUCACUUUGGUGCUGAGCUGGAGCUGUGCCAUUACUUUCCCAUAAAAUGCACAAUGCCUCUUUGUGGAAAAAUGGUUUCCUGUGGGAGGAGAGCAAGGAAACAUCUAAAUGAAUUCUCCACCCCUCACCCUAGGGAAGUGAGUUCAGUCUCCCAUGGUGGAGCCUAUUCGAACCCUGAGGGAUUGAACCUGGCGGGAGAUACCAGUGCCUAGUAUUCAGCACCGAGGUCUGGACAGCGACACACGCAGGACUGCCGCAGGAGCUGCUCUCUCUUCUGAGCACCAAAGACCUCCACCCUUCUGCAGCUGGCCAGCACCAAGCUGUUUUCCUUUUGAUAUGUGCAUUUCCCUCUUUUGAACAGCAAAAUAGGAAAUUGGCCGCAGGGGGGAGUGUGGUUAGGUUCAUGAUCGUGACAACUUGUGUCCAGCUCUUGGGAACGUGUUGGACUCAGGCCAAAAGUAAAAUCGCCGGGAGGUGGAAUUGAGAGAGUAUGCUGCACCUGGGAAGUUUGUUUUUUUUUUUGUUGUUGUUGUUGUUGUUUUUUAAAGCUCAACCGCCCGAGGGCGCGAUCUAUGCUGUAGAAAUAGAAGAAAGGGGAGAAGGUUGGAAAGAAAGCAUAUAAACAAGUGGAGAAAGGAAGCAAGAGAUGUUCCUUACAAGAAGCAAAUGAGACAAGACUUGGUGGAGGAUCAGGCUCUGUAGUGCUAAUUUUUCAUUUGCCUCCACGUUUGCAGAAAUGUGCACUACAUAAUUUCUUUAAACAUAAAGCAUCUUUACAAAAUCAAAUGCCAAUGUUAAUAAGCCAUGUGACAUGGUUAAGUGUUUUACAAUAAUGUAACUCACAUGAGAUGAAAUGGAAUGGGCUCCGAUUGAUAGCUUUGUUGUCUGUUCUGUAAAUCCACAUGUGUGAAUGUUGAUGGCUGGGUAAGCUGUCUUCUUUUCCCUUCACACCUCGGCCUGAGUUGUGGCCUCAAGCUCUCAAGGGUGUUUCAUUCUCACAGCAGACAGACACUAACUGUGCACUAGCAAGGCAAGAGAAGCCCAG